rnacentral:rRNA from 1 species
GAGCACGUAGGUGGGUUUGUAAGUCAGAUGUGAAAGCCUUCUGUUCAACGGAAGAAUUGCAUCUGGAACUGCGAGUCUUGAGUGUAGGAGGGGAGAAUGGAACUUCUGGUGGAGCGGUGAAAUGCGUAGAUAUCAGAAGGAACGCCGGCGGCGAAAGCGAUUCUCUGGCCUAUUACUGACACUCAGUGUGCGAAAGCUAGGGGAGCAAACGGGAUUAGAUACCCCGGUAGUCCUAGCCGUAAACGAUGGGCACUAAGUAGAGGGGUUUU